CCCUAGCAAAAUGGCCACAUUGCAAGUGUGUAGACGUUUGUUGUCGCGGGUUGUUUUGAAAACAUCAGCCCCAGUGACAGUUCAGUCAAAGAGAUACUUGAGGGUUGGUGACAGGUUGCCUAAUGUCGAGGUGUAUGGAGCCACGCCGAAUGACGUCAUUAAUCCUGCCGAGCUGUACAAAGGAAAACGAGGCGUGUUAUUUUCCGUAGUGGGAGCCUUCACGCCAGGUUGUAGUGAGUCACAUAUUCCUGAAUACAUAUCAAAUCAUCAAAAGUUCAAGGAGGAGGGGUAUGAUCUGAUCUGCUGUGUGGCCGUCAACGACCCCUUCGUCAUGGAUGCCUGGGGAAAGGAACUCCGAGCUGAGGGCAAGAUCAAGAUGCUGGCAGACACGAGAGGCGAGUUCACGAGGGCCAUGGGCAUGCAGCUGGAUUGUACCAAGCCUCUCGGGGGAUGGCGGUCCAGGAGGUAUUCUAUAGUGGUAGAGGACAGUGUGAUACAGCUGUAGUUUGGUGUUGCAGGUAUUCUAUAGUGGUAGAGGACAGUGUGAUACAGCUGUAGUUUGGUGUUGCAGGUAUUCUAUAGUGGUAGAGGACAGUGUGAUACAGCUGUAGUUUGGUGUUGCAGGUGUUCUAUAGUGGUAGAGGACAGUGUGAUAGAGCUGUAGUUUGGUGUUGCAGGUAUUCUAUAGUGGUAGAGGACAGUGUGAUACAGCUGUAGUUUGGUGUUGCAGGUAUUAUUUUGUGGUAGAGGACAGUGUGAUACAGCUGUAGUUUGGUGUUGCAGGUAUUCUAUAGUGGUGGAGGACAGUGUGAUACAGCUGUAGUUUGGUGUUGCAGGUAUUCUAUAGUGGUAGAGGACAGUGUGAUACAGCUGUAGUUUGGUGUUGCAGGUAUUCUAUAGUGGUAGAGGACAGUGUGAUACAGCUGUAGUUUGGUGUUGCAGGUAUUCUAUAGUGGUGGAGGACAGUGUGAUACAGCUGUAGUUUGGUGUUGCAGGUAUUCUGUAGUGGUAGAGGACAGUGUGAUACAGCUGUAGUUUGAUGUUGCAGGUAUUCUAUAGGGGUAGAGGACAGUGUGAUACAGCUGUAGUUUGAUGUUGAAGGUAUCCUAUAGUGGUGGAGGACAGUGUGAUACAGCUGUAGUUUGAUGUUGCAGGUAUUCUAUAGUGGUGGAGGACAGUGUGAUACAGCUGUAGUUUGGUGUUGCAGGUAUUCUAUAGUGGUAGAGGACAGUGUGAUACAGCUGUAGUUUGGUGUUGCAGGUAUUCUAUAGUGGUGGACAGUGUGAUACAGCUGUAGUUUGGUGUUGCAGGUAUUCUAUAGUGGUAGAGGACAGUGUGAUACAGCUGUAGUUUGGUGUUGCAGGUAUUCUAUAGUGGUAGAGGACAGUGUGAUACAGCUGUAGUUUGGUGUUGCAGGUAUUCUAUAGUGGUAGAGGACAGUGUGAUACAGCUGUAGUUUGGUGUUGCAGGUAUUCUAUAGUGGUAGAGGACAGUGUGAUACAGCUGUAGUUUGGUGUUGCAGGUAUUCUAUAGUGGUAGAGCGUGAUACAGCUGUAGUUUGGUGUUGCAGGUAUUCUAUAGUGGUAGAGGACAGUGUGAUACAGCUGUAGUUUGGUGUUGCAGGUAUUCUAUAGUGGUAGAGGACAGUGUGAUACAGCUGUAGUUUGGUGUUGCAGGUAUUCUAUAGUGGUGGAGGAGAGUGUGAUACAGCUGUAGUUUGGUGUUGCAGGUAUUCUAUAGUGGUAGAGGACAGUGUGAUACAGCUGUAGUUUGGUGUUGCAGGUAUUCUAUAGUGGUAGAGGACAGUGUGAUACAGCUGUAGUUUGGUGUUGCAGGUAUUCUAUAGUGGUAGAGGACAGUGUGAUACAGCUGUAGUUUGGUGUUGCAGGUAUUCUAUAGUGGUAGAGCGUGAUACAGCUGUAGUUUGGUGUUGCAGGUAUUCUAUAGUGGUAGAGCGUGAUACAGCUGUAGUUUGGUGUUGCAGGUAUUCUAUAGUGGUGGAGGACAGUGUGAUACAGCUGUAGUUUGGUGUUGCAGGUAUUCUAUAGUGGUGGAGGACAGUGUGAUACAGCUGUAGUUUGGUGUUGCAGGUAUUCUAUAGUGGUAGAGGACAGUGUGAUACAGCUGUAGUUUGGUGUUGCAGGUAUUCUAUAGUGGUAGAGGACAGUGUGAUACAGCUGUAGUUUGGUGUUGCAGGUAUUAUUUUGUGGUAGAGGACAGUGUGAUACAGCUGUAGUUUGGUGUUGCAGGUAUUCUAUAGUGGUGGAGGACAGUGUGAUACAGCUGUAGUUUGGUGUUGCAGGUAUUCUAUAGUGGUAGAGGACAGUGUGAUACAGCUGUAGUUUGGUGUUGCAGGUAUUCUACAGUGGUAGAGCGUGAUACAGCUGUAGUUUGGUGUUGCAGGUAUUCUACAGUGGUAGAGCGUGAUACAGCUGUAGUUUGGUGUUGCAGGUAUUCUAUAGUGGUGGAGGACAGUGUGAUACAGCUGUAGUUUGGUGUUGCAGGUAUUCUAUAGUGGUAGAGGACAGUGUGAUACAGCUGUAGUUUGAUGUUGCAGGUAUUCUAUAGGGGUAGAGGACAGUGUGAUACAGCUGUAGUUUGAUGUUGAAGGUAUCCUAUAGUGGUGGAGGACAGUGUGAUACAGCUGUAGUUUGAUGUUGCAGGUAUUCUAUAGUGGUGGAGGACAGUGUGAUACAGCUGUAGUUUGGUGUUGCAGGUAUUCUAUAGUGGUAGAGGACAGUGUGAUACAGCUGUAGUUUGGUGUUGCAGGUAUUCUAUAGUGGUGGACAGUGUGAUACAGCUGUAGUUUGGUGUUGCAGGUAUUCUAUAGUGGUAGAGGACAGUGUGAUACAGCUGUAGUUUGGUGUUGCAGGUAUUCUAUAGUGGUAGAGGACAGUGUGAUACAGCUGUAGUUUGGUGUUGCAGGUAUUCUAUAGUGGUAGAGGACAGUGUGAUACAGCUGUAGUUUGGUGUUGCAGGUAUUCUAUAGUGGUAGAGGACAGUGUGAUACAGCUGUAGUUUGGUGUUGCAGGUAUUCUAUAGUGGUAGAGCGUGAUACAGCUGUAGUUUGGUGUUGCAGGUAUUCUAUAGUGGUAGAGGACAGUGUGAUACAGCUGUAGUUUGGUGUUGCAGGUAUUCUAUAGUGGUAGAGGACAGUGUGAUACAGCUGUAGUUUGGUGUUGCAGGUAUUCUAUAGUGGUGGAGGAGAGUGUGAUACAGCUGUAGUUUGGUGUUGCAGGUAUUCUAUAGUGGUAGAGGACAGUGUGAUACAGCUGUAGUUUGGUGUUGCAGGUAUUCUAUAGUGGUAGAGGACAGUGUGAUACAGCUGUAGUUUGGUGUUGCAGGUAUUCUAUAGUGGUAGAGGACAGUGUGAUACAGCUGUAGUUUGGUGUUGCAGGUAUUCUAUAGUGGUAGAGCGUGAUACAGCUGUAGUUUGGUGUUGCAGGUAUUCUAUAGUGGUAGAGCGUGAUACAGCUGUAGUUUGGUGUUGCAGGUAUUCUAUAGUGGUGGAGGACAGUGUGAUACAGCUGUAGUUUGGUGUUGCAGGUAUUCUAUAGUGGUGGAGGACAGUGUGAUACAGCUGUAGUUUGGUGUUGCAGGUAUUCUAUAGUGGUAGAGGACAGUGUGAUACAGCUGUAGUUUGAUGUUGCAGGUAUUCUAUAGUGGUGGAGGACAGUGUGAUACAGCUUUAGUUUUGUGUUGCAGGUAUUCUAUAGUGGUAGAGGACAGUGUGAUACAGCUAUAGUUUGGUGUGUCAGGUAUUCUAUAGUGGUGGAGGGCAGUGUGAUACAGCUGUAGUUUGGUGUUGCAGGUAUUCUAUAGUGGUGGACAGUGUGAUAGAGCUGUAGUUUGGUGUUGCAGGUAUCCUAUAGUGGUAGAGGACAGUGUGAUACAGCUAUAGUUUGGUGUGUCAGGUAUUCUAUAGUGGUGGAGGGCAGUGUGAUACAGCUGUAGUUUGGUGUUGCAGGUAUUCUAUAGUGAUGGAGGACAGAGUGAUACAGCUGUAGUUUGAUGUUGCAGGUAUUCUAUAGUGGUAGAGGACAGAGUUAUACAGCUGUAGUUUGGUGUUGCAGGUAUUCUAUAGUGGUAGAGGACAGUGUGAUACAGCUGUAGUUUGGUGUUGCAGGUAUUCUAUAGUGGUGGAGGACAGUGUGAUACAGCUGUAGUUUGGUGUUGCAGGUAUUCUAUAGUGGUGGAGGACAGUGUGAUACAGCUGUAGUUUGGUGUUGCAGGUAUUCUAUAGUGGCGGAGGACAGUGUGAUACAGCUGUAGUUUGGUGUUGCAGGUAUUCUAUAGUGGUGGAGGACAGUGUGAUACAGCUGUAGUUUGGUGUUGCAGGUAUUCUAUAGUGGUAGAGGACAGUGUGAUACAGCAGAUCAAUGAGGACCCGGACCACACCGGCCUGGUAUGUCUGCUGUGUAUAAAGAACAUGAAGAGCCGGGCACAGGCACCACCUUGACGAUACGACCCGUCUUCGUGUCUCGUUGUUCUGUCCGUCUUCAACCUCGUAUAUACGAUCAUCUGAUUUGUAUUAUAAAUUGUUUACUUUAAUCAAGGCAGUAUCUCC